rnacentral:rRNA from 1 species
CACGUAGGGGGCGAGCGUUGUCCGGAUUUAUUGGGCGUAAAGAGCGUGUGAGCGGCCAGGUAGGUGGGUUGUGAAACUGGAGGCUCAACCUUCAGAGGUCGACCCAAACCCCCUGGCUAGAGUCCGGAAGAGGAGAGUGGAAUUCCGUGGUGUAGCGGUGAAAUGCGCAGAUAUCAGGAAGAACACCCGUGGCGAAGGCGGCUGCCUCUGGGACGGUACUGACGCUGAGACGCGAAAGCGUGGGGAGCGAACAGG